rnacentral:rRNA from 1 species
AGCAGUCGCCGCGGUAAUACGGAGGGUGCAAGCGUUAUCCGGAUUUAUUGGGUUUAAAGGGUCCGUAGGCGGAUCUGUAAGUCAGUGGUGAAAUCUCACAGCUUAACUGUGAAACUGCCAUUGAUACUGCAGGUCUUGAGUAAAUUUGAAGUGGCUGGAAUAAGUAGUGUAGCGGUGAAAUGCAUAGAUAUUACUUAGAACACCAAUUGCGAAGGCAGGUCACUAAGAUUUAACUGACCCUGAUGGACGAAAGCGUGGGGAGCGAACAGGAUUAGAUACCCGCGUAGUCCCUGUCUCUUAUAC